rnacentral:rRNA from 1 species
GCCGGUGGCCAGAGCGCGGCGGAACCACCCGUUCCCAUCCCGAACACGGCAGUGAAACGUCGCAGCGCUGACGAUACUGGGGGCGCAAGCCUCUGUGGAAAAUAGGCCGCCGCCGGUG